CUGACAGGCAGCCUGAGAGGCAGCAACCCUGACAACUCAACGCGUAAACUGAGGCAACGAUCACAUUGACCAAUCAUGGCACCAACACUAAUGCACAUUUUCUUGAUUCUGUUUGUUCCACAAGUCAACCAGAGAAAAUUUUAAUUAACUAUUAGUAAAAGAAAUCGCAAUCAGCUGAAUCAGCUUCGGCUGAAAAAAAUAGUAAAAUAAUCACUCUGCAAAAACACAAAAUCCUACCGGGUGGAAAAUUUUGGUCAAAAAGACAAAUUUAACUUGACAGUAACUUUUUAGCAAGAUAUAGAAGCUUGUUUUAAGUAAAUAAUGUAAGUUAAACAAUCUGUUAAUGGAACAAUAUUGAUAUAGAAAGUUCCACUGGCAGAUUUCACUUGUAACGGGAAAAACAUCUUGUUAUAAAGUGAAAAAAUCUGCUAGAACUGGUUACUAGGAGACGGGCUGGGCUUGGCUGGGGUUGCUAGGUAACGGCUCUAGUUCUCCUUUCCAAUGGAACUAGAAUUUUUUCAUCAAUAUCAAGGAUUUAUUUACUUACUUAUUUCAAACAAGCCUCUAUCUUGCUAAAAAGUACUUGUCAGUUUUGUCUUAUUUCAAGUUUGCUAAGAUAUUUUUAUUAGCAACCAGACAAAAAAAAAAUACUUGGAAAGAUUUUCUGUUUUUGCAUUUCAAUCAAUCAAUCCAGUUUAUUUUGACUUCAGAGGUUCUGAUGUGGAUCUGAAACCGUUUUUUGGGGGUUUUUUUAACCUGGACUUUUGAACUAACAAAGAAAAAAGUGCAUUUUGUGUUCUUGCUGCUUUACUUGUGAUCGUUGUCUCACCCAGCAGGCGUCGCAUCUGAGCAGAAACACACCAACGAGGCAGAGGUGGGCAGAGUAUCCAAACAUUACACUCAACUAAAACUAUUUGGUAAAAAGUUUACUCAAGUACUGAUCAAAUUAUCAGUCAUUUAAUAUUUAAAAAUUACAUUAUCAGUGGGUAGAGAAUCCAGGAGUUUUACUCAAAUAAGAGUAGAAGUACUGCAUAAUAAAAUUACUCAAGUAAAAGUAAAAAGUAAAUUUUUUCAAGUAGAUUUAACUAGUUACCACCCAACUCUGCCUAAAUGCAGUCAGUUUUGUUGAACGAAUGUCAAAGAAAUCCCAUUUUCUUGCUUUCAGGAAGAUUAGAUUUGCAUCAUGUUUGGCAAAACCUGCAGCCGCUCUGAUGAGCGCGACUCGCUGUAAAUCGACGUCCAGUCCGGUUUCUGCUCAGAUGUGGUGAAGGUUGCAGAAAUCCCCGAGCUCUGCGGCUCUCCAGCAUCACUGCAGGAGUCGGCAGCGAUGCGUCGAAUGUUGGAGAGGUGAUUUCAUCGACCGCCUGCUGGGCAACAUGCUAGGGUUGCUGUCUCUCAUGGGAGAAGAACUUAUUUUUGUUGCUUUAUAUUUACUUUCAAAACUUAUUAAGAGACUUUAAAGACUUGUUCAAACAUUUUGUGAAGUUCAUCUGGACGGCGAGGCGUUUAGUUUUUUGGUUUUUUUUAGCAGUGUAUGGAGAGGAGGAUGGAUGCAGAGGAGGCGCAGGAGGUUGGAGGACAGAGUGAACAAAGCUGUGUUGAAUCGGUUUGACUGCAGAGACGAGCCGGCUUCCAGCGGCUCGCUGCCAGUUGCUUAGUAACUGGUGUUUUCAGCUAAAGUCUACAGUCAAAAUGUCCAAAUUAAAGAGGACCUGAAGAAACAAGUGACCAAGCAAACGCAUUCCUCCAGGGGACACGUUGUGUCGGUUUGCUACAGAAAGGGACGUCAGCGGCGGCAGCAUGGAGUCUCGCUGCUUUACUGACAUCAACAGUGGGGCCCCCCUCAGGCGACCUGCACACACUCUGCUGUAAUGGGCCUCCUCAUGGUUGGAGGUCUCCUGUCAAAUCUCGGAGCUGAAAACCCCCCGGAGAAGAGCGAGGGUUUGAAGUCGGAAUAAAGAAUCAGAGGGAGGAGAGAAAGCAGCUCUCCUCUGGGCUUUUUCCCGCAGCCAGGUGUGAACGCUGGACGGUGGCGCGGUUCGCUUCCUGAGUGGAUGAAGACAUCAAAGUACAAACCUAAACACAGUGGACAGAAUCCUGUUUUAUUCUCAAAGAACUCGGUUUAGACGGUCCAAAAAGAGAGAUGGGCAGAAAGCCUGGAGCGAUCUUCCUCCCUCCUCCUCCUCCUCCUCCUCCUCAGCAGGACCCAAUCUUCUCUUCGCUUGGUAAAUCUUUAGGUUUCUGAAGGUCACCGCAGGGGGGCUUCACUGCGAGGAAGGUGACCGAACCUUUGCCUGAAAGGAACAAAAAACUGACAGAAAGUUUUACAGGAUGGUUUUCAUUUUUUAAAUUUCCUCUCUGAGGGAGAAGGAGACUUUUCUUCCUGUCCUUGUCAGAUCCUCUGCUGAUUGAAAUCAGCAUGAUCAGGUGGAAUCGAGGAAAUGAAAUCUUAUCAGUUUGAUCAUGACUGGAUUUUAUUGGGUUAAAAGUUGCAGGAAGGAUUUUUUUUGUUUUGUAUAAUUAUUAUUAUUAUUAUUAAGUUCUGGAGUGCCUCCCGUCAGUCCCAGACGGAGAUCUCCAACGGAUCAGAGAUGGAGAAUGAAACUAUUCAUUCAUUUAUUCAUUCAUUUAUCCACCCACCUCCCAUCAGGGCGCCUUCAGAUUGAAGCCGUAACCAUUGAACAGUUUCUUAAACACAUUUUUCCAUUUAAUUACAGAAAAAAUCACCGUCUCUUCACUCUCAUUAACUCAACGUCUGUAAUUGCUGUUUAAUGGCAGUUUGUGGUUUAUAAAAUUAGCUUCUCAGCCAUGAAUCAACUGCUGUGUUUAACAAAGUCUAUAUUUUAUAUCUUUAUUUAUAAUUAAGAUCUAAAUUAUCUGCAAAAGUUUCAGAUAAAUUCUCUUAUUUGCCUCACAGAAAACCUGACAGUGGGUAUUAAAAGUCUAAACAACCAUGUAAAAUUUCAGCUUUUAUGAUGCAAACAUAACUUUAUUUUUUAAAAGACCUUUUAAAUGGUGACACUGAUUUUCUACUAUCAUGAGUUUUAAGGUGAUGAUUAAUUCUGAAAACAGGAUUAAGAAAAUUUCAGCAUUUUCAGUUAUUUAUUUGUUAUUCCCCCUUCAAGAUUUCAGUACCUAAAGGGAGAUAUAUAAGUGAGAAACUUUAAUCUCAAAAUUCUCAGACUUGAAAACUCAAUCUGGGAUUAAACUCACAAUUUUCACUUUAAAAUAAUAAAAGUUAACUUUUUUUUCUCUGAAUUAUCACUCUAAACUCAGAAAUCUGACUUUUUUUCCCAGAAUCAGUCCAUGAGACAAACAUGGUGUUAACACUGAAAUCUACCAAAUAAAUUUUGCACAGGCUUUGAGUGCAAGUUAUUUAUUUAGUUAUUUAUUUGAAUCUACAUUAAAUUAUUCAGUUGUUAGAUAAAAAUCAAAGUUUGGGACUUACAGUCAAAAAUGUAUUGAUUUUUUUUGUAGGUGGCACUAAUCCUCUUCCAUAUAAUCACACUGAAUAUGGAUUUAAACAAAAAACGAAAACCUGCCAUUUCAACGUGAGUGUACAGGUUUUUAUACCCACUCUUGUACAGCAGAAACUUUUAUUUUCCACGUGUGAUGAGACUCAUAACCACAUGCCUGUCUUGUAAACUCACUCAGAGAGGAAAUGCUGCGCUGCACAAACUACUGCUGACUGUCCCAGCGUCUCACUGCCAAACUAAACCCGUUCCUCUCCUCCGUUCCUCCGUCCUCACUGCCGAUUUAUACCUUUACUCACUUUAUCUCUCCUCUCUCCACUUUCAUUGGAUUUUUUUAAUCUCCGCUGGCUUUACCACCUUGACAGGUAAAUACAUUUGAGUUGCUAAAGCUCAUAAAGGAGUAAAAUGGUGAUAAAGGAAGAAAAUAAUUCUCCAAGACGUCUCAGUGUCUUAUCUUUUCACUUGCUCUCGCGCCUGUCUCCUCUUGAAAGAGCUAAAACUCUCAUUACUCCGCUGUCAGCUGCUGCAGAAAGAAAGAAAAAAACCUGUGUAGGUUUUUUCACUGCAAAAACACAAAACCUUACCAAGUAUUUUGGGUCUAGUUUCUAGUGCAAAUAUCUUAGGAAACUUGAAAUAC